ACGUAGGGUGCAAGCGUUAAUCGGAAUUACUGGGCGUAAAGCGUGCGCAGGCGGUUUCGCAAGUCAGAUGUGAAAUCCCCGGGCUUAACCUGGGAACUGCAUUUGAAACUACGAGGCUAGAGUGUGUCAGAGGGGGGUGGAAUUCCACGUGUAGCAGUGAAAUGCGUAGAGAUGUGGAGGAACACCAAUGGCGAAGGCAGCCCCCUGGGAUGACACUGACGCUCAUGCACGAAAGCGUGGGGAGCAAACAGGAUUAGAUACCCUGGUAGUCCACGCCCUAAACGAUGUCAACUAGUUGUCGGGUCUUAAUUGACUUGGUAACGCAGCUAACGCGUGAAGUUGACCGCCUGGGGAGUACGGUCGCAAGAUUA
rnacentral:rRNA from 1 species